UACGAAGGGGGCAAGCGUUAUUCGGAAUUAUUGGGCGUAAAGGGCGCGUAGGUGGUUUAUUAAGUCGAAUGUUAAAUCUCAUCGCCUAACGGUGAGUUCGCAGUCGAUACUAAUAGGCUAGAGGAUGAGAGAGAAGAGUGGAAUUCUCGGAGUAGCGGUUAAAUGCGUGGAUCUCGAGAGGAACAUCAUUGGCGAAGGCAGCUCUUUGGUUCAUUCCUGACACUAAAGCGCGAAGGCGUGGGGAGCAAACAGG
rnacentral:rRNA from 1 species